rnacentral:piRNA from 1 species
UUACCCAGAUGUAGAGUUGUCGUCACA